rnacentral:rRNA from 1 species
UACGAAGGGGGCUAGCGUUGCUCGGAAUCACUGGGCGUAAAGGGUGCGUAGGUGGGUCUGUAAGUCAGUGGUGAAAUCUCCGGGCUUAACCCGGAAAUUGCCAUUGAUACUAUAGGUCUUGAAUCAUCUGGAGGUAAGCGGAAUAUGUCAUGUAGCGGUGAAAUGCUUAGAUAUGACAUAGAACACCAAUUGCGAAGGCAGCUUACUACGGAUGUAUUGACACUGAGGCACGAAAGCGUGGGGAUCAAACAGG